AUUGAACGCUGGCGGCAUGCUUUACACAUGCAAGUCGAACGGCAGCGCGGGCUUCGGCCUGGCGGCGAGUGGCGAACGGGUGAGUAAUACAUCGGAACGUGCCCAGUAGUGGGGGAUAGCUCGGCGAAAGCCGGAUUAAUACCGCAUACGACCUGAGGGUGAAAGCGGGGGAUCUUCGGACCUCGCGCUAUUGGAGCGGCCGAUGGCAGAUUAGCUAGUUGGUGGGGUAAAGGCCUACCAAGGCGACGAUCUGUAGCUGGUCUGAGAGGACGACCAGCCACACUGGGACUGAGACACGGCCCAGACUCCUACGGGAGGCAGCAGUGGGGAAUUUUGGCCACUGGGCGAAAGCCUGUUCCAGCAGUGCCGCGUGUGUGAUGAAGGCCUUCGGGUUGUAAAGCACUUUUGGCGGGAACGAAAAGGACUGUGCCAAUACCACGGUUCGAUGACGGUACCCGCAGAAUAAGCACCGGCUAACUACGUG
rnacentral:rRNA from 1 species